rnacentral:tRNA from 7 species
GGAGGGGUGGCUGAGUGGUCGAAAGCACUGGUCUUGAAAACCAGCGAGGGUUAAUAGCCCUCCCAGGGUUCGAAUCCCUGCCCCUCCGCCA